CGACGUGGGUAACCUGCCUCGUACAGGGGGAUAACUAUUGGAAACGAUAGCUAAUACCGCAUAACAAUGGAUGACACAUGUCAUUUAUUUGAAAGGGGCAAUUGCUCCACUACAAGAUGGACCUGCGUUGUAUUAGCUAGUAGGUGAGGUAACGGCUCACCUAGGCGACGAUACAUAGCCGACCUGAGAGGGUGAUCGGCCACACUGGGACUGAGACACGGCCCAG
rnacentral:rRNA from 1 species